UAAAAUUUAAAGAAAAUCCUGAACUUUCCUACGAUAGUACCGUAAACCUUUUAAAAGGGAUUAUAAUAGAGUUUUGUCUUCUCCUUGUGCUUCCUCUGCGUCACUUUUCUUACUUGGCUAAUGAUGAUGAUAAACCCUUGGAAACAGAAACUUUAACAAAGAAGAAAAACCCUAUUUGGAACUUGCUUCCUUUUUUAUUUUUUAUUAUUAUCCUACCUGGGCUACAGCCCACCGGAGCCUUGUGAAAGGCUCCGCCCUUGC
rnacentral:lncRNA from 1 species